GAUGAAGAACGCAGCGAAAUGCGAAAAGUAAUGUGAAUUGCAGAAUUCAGUGAAUCAUCGAAUCUUUGAACGCAUAUUGCGCCCGCCGGCACUCUGGCGGGCACGCCUGUUCGAGCGUCGUUUCAACCCUCGGGCUCCGGUCCGGUGUCGGGGCACCGCGCAGUCUUAUUGCGCAGGCCCCCAGAUGCAGCGGCGGACCAGCCGCGGUCCUGAGCGUAGUAUGCAAGUCUCGCUCCGGCGGCCGCGGCGCGGCCUUGCCUCGCCCAAACAACGGCACGCUCGACGUGUCGUCCCAAAGUCGACCUCGGAUCAGGCGGGACUACCCGCGGAACUUAAGCAUAUCAAUAAGCGGAGGA
rnacentral:misc_RNA from 1 species